GAAAGUAGGAAAGGGCAUACGGUGGAUGCCUAGGCUCUUACAGGCGAUGAAGGACGUGAUAAGCUGCGAUAAGCUUCGGGGAGGUGCAAAUAACCCUUGAUCCGGAGAUUUCCGAAUGGGACAACCCAGUAUUUUGAAGAAAUACUAUCCGACCAAUGUCGGAGGCGAACGCAGGGAACUGAAACAUCUUAGUACCUGCAGGAAGAGAAAAUAAACAAUGAUUCCCCUAGUAGUGGCGAGCGAACGGGGAAGAGCCCAAACCACUGUUGUUACGGCAAGAGUGGGGUAGUAGGACCGCGACAUCGGACGAAAGUUUGUGAGAAGAAGCCUCUGGAAAGAGGCACCGUAGAGAGUGAUAGUCUUGUAUUCGAAGCAAACCGAACCGUAGCGGUAUCCUGAGUAGCGCGGAGCACGAGGAAUUCUGUGUGAAUCAGCCGGGACCAUCCGGUAAGGCUAAAUACUCGUAAGAGACCGAUAGUGAACCAGUACUGUGAAGGAAAGGUGAAAAGCACCCCGAACAGGGGAGUGAAAUAGUUCCUGAAACCGUAUGCCUACAAGCGGUCGGAGCUCAGCAAUGAGUGACGGCGUGCCUUUUGCAUAAUGAACCUACGAGUUACCGUCGUUGGCAAGGUUAAGGGUAAUGAUGCCCCGAGCCGGAGCGAAAGCGAGUCUGAAUAGGGCGAUGAGUCAUCGGCGGUAGACGCGAAACCGAGUGAUCUACACUUGUCCAGGAUGAAGUCCCGGUAACACGGGAUGGAGGUCCGAACCAAUAAGCGUUGAAAAGCUUCUGGAUGAGGUGAGUGUAGGAGUGAAAGGCCAAUCAAACUCGGAGAUAGCUCGUACUCCCCGAAAGGCAUUUAGGUGCCGCCUCGGACGUUCCCGAUGUGAGGUAGAGCGACUGAUUGGAUGCGAGGGCUUCACCGCCUAUCAAGUCCUGAUAAACUCCGAAUGCGCAUCGGCCAAGUCCGGGAGUAAGGGCAUGGGUGCUAAGGUCCGUGCCCGAGAGGAGAAGAAUCCAGACCAUCGGCUAAGGUCCCGAAAUACUGGUUAAGUUAGACUAACGAAGUCCGGCCCCCAAGACAGCUAGGAUGUUGGCUUGGAAGCAGCCAUUCAUUCAAAGAGUGCGUAACAGCUCACUAGUCGAGGAGCUGGGCGUGGAUAAUAAUCGGGUAUAAAACCAGUUACCGAAGCCAUGGGAUACGUUAAGUAUCGGUAGGGGAGCAUUCCAUUCAGCGUCGAAGGCGCACCGUGAGGUGUUCUGGAGCGUAUGGAAAAGCAAAUGUAGGUAUAAGUAACGAUAAGGGGGGUGAGAUGCCCCCCCGCCGCAAGACCAAGGUUUCCUGAACAACGCUAAUCGGUUCAGGGUUAGUCGGGUCCUAAGCAUAAUCCGAAAGGUGAGGGCGAUGGCAGAAACGGUUAAUAUUCCGUUACUACCGAAUCGCGUGAUGCGGGGACGGAGAAGUGACACGGCCGCCGUCUGACGGAAUAGACGGUUGAAGGGCGUAGGUUAUGAGGAAGGCAGUCAAGUACACCUUCCGAGCUGAAACCUGAUAGUACGGAGCGUUCUUCGGAACAAUCCGAUAGUGCCGGUAACCAUGCUCCCGAGAAAAUCCGCUAAACAAUAACGGUUCGGUACCCGUACUGUAAACGGACACACGUGGUCGGGUUGAAUAUACUAAGGCGCUUGGGUGAAUCACGGUUAAGGAACUAGGCAAAUUGACCCCGUACCUUCGGAAUAAGGGGUCCUCGGUAAGACGAGGCGCAGAGAAUAGGUCCAGGCAACUGUUUAACAAAAACACAGGGCUGUGCGAAUUCGAAAGACGAAGUAUACAGCCUGACACCUGCCCGGUGCUGGAAGGUUAAGAGGAGAGCUCAGAGCAAUCGAAGGCUUGAAUUGAAGCCCCAGUAAACGGCGGCCGUAACUAUAACGGUCCUAAGGUAGCGAAAUUCCUUGUCGGGUAAGUUC
rnacentral:rRNA from 1 species